AUGAUCACUUCGGCAGCAUAUAUACUAAAAUUGGAACGAUACAGAGAAGAUUAACGUGGCCCCUGUGCAAGGAUGACAUGCAAAUUCAUUAAACAUUCCAUAUUUUU
rnacentral:snRNA from 1 species